UACGUAGGGGGCAAGCGUUGUCCGGAAUCAUUGGGCGUAAAGAGCGUGUAGGCGGCUUGGUAAGUCCGCUGUGAAAGUCCAGGGCUCAACCCUGGAAUACCGGUGGAAACUGUCAAGCUUGAGUCCGGAAGAGGCGAGUGGAAUUCCUGGUGUAGCGGUGAAAUGCGCAGAUAUCAGGAGGAACACCAAUGGCGAAGGCAGCUCGCUGGGACGGUACUGACGCUGAGACGCGAAAGCGUGGGGAGCAAACAGG
rnacentral:rRNA from 1 species